CAUCCCAGUUCCCGUUCCCAGGAGUACGGGCCGCGUUUCCGCCAUUCCCUCGGGAAUCUUUUCCUGGAAUUUUUGCUCCGCCUGGAGAGCGCCCUUCCCCCACCCGACCUGGCCCAGGUGAGUCCCGCCCGAGCCACGCCCCCUUUCCAUCAAACCCCGCCCCUUUUCGCUGAAACCCCGCCCCUUUUUCCUUAUAUGGCGCAGCUCGAUGCCCUCUGCCGAAGCCACGCCCCUCCGGGCUUUAAGACACGCCCCCUCCCCAUCCUGCGCCGCUAUUUGGCUGAGGUUGGCCACGCCCACCCGGCGCCGGUGCCACGCCCGAUCCCAGCUCGGAAAACCACGCCCAUGGUGAAGCCCCGCCUCCAGCGCCGCAGGUUCCGCCCACUCCGCUUCUCCCCUUACCACGCUGACGGGAAAGGAGAUCGAGAUCGACAUCGAACCCACGGACAAGGUGAGCUCCCAGUUUGGACCAGUAUAAACCAGUUCCGGGUGGUUCGGACCGGUAUCAACCAGUUUGGGGUGGUUUGGGGUGGGGGGAGAACCGCCAGGGGGUG
rnacentral:lncRNA from 1 species